rnacentral:rRNA from 1 species
UCCUAUUGUACUACCCCACAUAGACCCAGUCCUUGUCUGUCUUAGAAGCUAAGCAGGAUUAGACCUGGUUAAUAUUUGGUUAGGAGACCAUUUUGGAACACCAGGUACUGUAGGUU